AUUAUUAAAAAUAGAAAAUAAAUAAUUUGAUUUUUAGUUAUCACGGGACGGAUUAUACGGUGGAACGGGUUUAGAUGAGACAUGACAAAAUAUUAUCCCGUGGUGUGGUCUAUCACCAGUCAAAUUCUAUAAGAUAAAAUAAU
rnacentral:sRNA from 1 species